UACGUAGGGGGCAAGCGUUGUCCGGAUUUAUUGGGCGUAAAGAGCUCGUAGGCGGCUUAGUAAGUCGGGUGUGAAACCUCCAGGCUCAACCUGGAGACGCCACCCGAUACUGCUGUGGCUAGAGUCCGGUAGGGGAGCGUGGAAUUCCUGGUGUAGCGGUGAAAUGCGCAGAUAUCAGGAGGAACACCAGCGGCGAAGGCGGGCUCU
rnacentral:rRNA from 1 species